UCAUAAGGCAAUCUUAUUUUAUUUCUAGGAAAAUAUUACAUGCUCUUCUUUAAAGAAAUUUAAAUCUAAUAUUCCCUUCCUUCAUAUCGAUGAUAGCACCGAUAGUCCUUAUGAAAGGUCUACCAAGAAUAAUAGGGCAUGUAGGAUUGCAAUCAAUGUCAAGCACAAUGAAAUCCAUGGGUACAUAGUUCCUAUUUGCAAUAAUAAGAACAUCAUUGAUCCUUCCCACGGGUUUCUUGACAGUAGAAUCCGCAAGAUGCAAAUUAAGAGAACACUCCUCAA
rnacentral:lncRNA from 1 species